rnacentral:rRNA from 1 species
AGUAUUGGCCAAACAUGGUUGCAACGGGUAACGGAGGGUUAGGGCUCGACCCCGGAGAAGGAGCCUGAGAAACGGCUACUACAUCCAAGGAAGGCAGCAGGCGCGCUAAUUACCCAAUCCCGACACGGGGAGGUAGUGACAAUAAAUACUGAUACAGGGCUCUUUUGGGUCUUGUAAUUGGAAUGAGUACAAUUUAAAUCCCUUAACGAGGAACAAUUGGAGGGCAAGUCUGGUGCCAGCAGCCGCGGUAAUUCCAGCUCCAAUAGCGUAUAUUAAAGUUGUUGUGGUUAAAAAGCUCGUAGUUGAACCUUGGGCCUGGCUGGCCGGUCCGCCUCACCGCGUGUACUGGUCCGGCCGGGCCUUUCCCUCUGUGGAACCCCAUGCCCUUCACUGGGUGUGGCGGGGAAACAGGACUUUUACUUUGAAAAAAUUAGAGUGCUCCAGGCAGGCCUAUGCUCGAAUACAUUAGCAUGGAAUAAUAGAAUAGGACGUGUGGUUCUAUUUUGUUGGUUUCUAGGACCGCCGUAAUGAUUAAUAGGGACAGUCGGGGGCAUCAGUAUUCAAUUGUCAGAGGUGAAAUUCUUGGAUUUAUUGAAGACUAACUACUGCGAAAGCAUUUGCCAAGGAUGUUUUCAUUAAUCAGGAACGAAAGUUAGGGGAUCGAAGACGAUCAGAUACCGUCGUAGUCUUAACCAUAAACUAUGCCGACUAGGGAUCGGACGAUGUUAUUUUUUGACUCGUUCGGCACCUUACGAGAAAUCAAAGUGCUUGGGCUCCAGGGGGAGUAUGGUCGCAAGGCUAAAACUUAAAGAAAUUGACGGAAGGGCACCACCGGGGGUGGAGCCUGCGGCUUAAUUUGACACAACACGGGGAAACUCACCAGGUCCAGACACAAUGAGGAUUGACAGAUUGAGAGCUCUUUCUUGAUUUUGUGGGUGGUGGUGCAUGGCCGUUCUUAGUUGGUGGAGUGAUUUGUCUGCUUAAUUGCGAUAACGAACGAGACCUUAACCUGCUAAAUAGCCCGUAUUGCUUUGGCAGUACGCUGGCUUCUUAGAGGGACUAUCGGCUCAAGCCGAUGGAAGUUUGAGGCAAUAACAGGUCUGUGAUGCCCUUAGAUGUUCUGGGCCGCACGCGCGCUACACUGACGGAGCCAGCGAGUUCUCCCUUGGCCGGAAGGUCCGGGUAAUCUUGUUAAACUCCGUCGUGCUGGGGAUAGAGCAUUGCAAUUAUUGCUCUUCAACGAGGAAUCCCUAGUAAGCGCAAGUCAUCAGCUUGCGUUGAUUACGUCCCUGCCCUUUGUACACACCGCCCGUCGCUACUACCGAUUGAAUGGCUCAGUGAGGCGUCCGGACUGGCCCAGAGAGGUGGGCAACUACCCCUCAGGGCCGGAAAGCUCUCCAAACUCGGUCAUUUAGAGGAAGUAAAAGUCGUAACAAGGUC